UGAUUUAACUGUCAAAGCCGGAAUGUUUAAAGCAUACAUCCCGCCCAAGGCAUGCUGGGAUGAUCUCCUAUCAGGCAGCUUGGAAACUUCCAGACGCCGAUAUGCCUUACGUUCGGUGCAGCCGAGGUUAUGAACUGUCAAGUGGAAUAUGCCCCUUGAGGAAAACAAUUAGGAUCGACUGUCCAGCGAGGAGAUUGCGGAAUCAGCAA